UGAUCCUCACAUUUCUAAAGAUCUGCGUGCCUGUAUAACACCCCACCCAGCAGACUGUCGACCAAUCACGUUCACGUUGUCAUGCUGCGUCACGCGGUUGCUAAACCAAUCAUCACGUAAUCCCUUCUCAAAGUCAGUGUACUUUAUGUCGAGAAACUCUGUUUUCAUCAAAAGUACGUUCUGCCACGAUUCCAAAGCUAUACGAUACUACAGACAGCAAGUUAAUUAUCUCACAUCUCACGUCGACCAGAAUGCACCGCGUUGGCCAAUGACGUAACAUCGUCAACGUUGUUGGGUUUUUGAGCUAGUGCCCAGUAGACUCCAUUCACUCCGUGAAGGAGAGCGAUCCCUGUCCCAGAGUCGCCCAGAAUGCACCGCGUGGGCCAAAGACGUAGGUUCGUCAAGGUUUCCCAUCUCCUCAAAAGUAUAUCUGCCGUUGUGAUUUAAACUCCACUCUGGGAGACACAUCGAUCUGCAGGUUGAACAUGACCUCCAGGCUCAAAGCGUCAGUCCACCAGAUCUCCAGGCUCAAAGCGUCAGUCCACCAGCUGAAUACUCAGUCAGACUGGUGGAUGGGACCACUUCCUGUUCUGGGACAGUGGAAGUCUUCUACAGAGGAGAGUGGUUGGGUAUAUGUCCUAGUUGGUGGAGCAUAAUGAGAGAGACGUGGUUGUGGGACAUGAGAGAGACCAAGGUUGUGUGUAGAGAGCUGGACUGUGGGAAUCCUGUAGCUGAAUCUAGAGGACCUCUGAUUGAAGAUGGAAGAAGAGGAGUCACACUAUAUAGUAGUUGCUAUGGAGAUGAGUCUUCUAUUAGACAGUGUGGCAUAGGAGGACCUGGUUUCUGUUAUGGUGGAUAUUAUCAUCAUGUGACCUGUUCAGAGUCUGUGCGGCUUGUGGGUGGAGCUGGUCUCUGCUCUGGGAGAGUGGAGGUGAAGUCCAAUCAGUCCUGGGACUCAGUGUGUGAAGCUGACUUUGACCGGCAGGAUGCAGAGGUAGUCUGUGGGGAGCUUGGCUGUGGGGCUCCUGCAGCUCUAC